UGGUGUCCGACUCGGAGAAGCACACCUUCAAGUACGUGGUGCUGAGCGACCGGCUCAUCUACCUGACCGAGAACCCGCCCAGGUCCAUCCGGCGGGUCGUGGCGCUGCGGGACGUCGUGGCCAUUGACCUGAUUGAUGAUUACCCAGAAUUUUUGAGUUCACCAGAUAGAGAUGUCAACCAACACAUUCGUAUCAUCUAUUCUUCAACUGUUUUGAAAAAAGAGUGUGAAAAGCCAAAAGGUGUCAGGAAGUUUCUAUUUCCAUUUCAUCAUGCCAAUGCUAACAACAAAAAACUCAAGGAAGAGAAUAAUGGUCCUGUCUUUCGAAGAGGCAAAGAGCCUAGAAGUCUGAGUGAAUCCUCUCUCAGGU